rnacentral:lncRNA from 1 species
CUCUCAAGAGAAUGCCCAGGCUCCUAACCAUGUCUCAGACUGCCCUGCACCUCAGCCUCUGUCUCUGCACCCCCAGGCAUGUUCAACCUCUUGCAAUUCUUGCAUUCCCCAUAGUUCAUGACCCAACCUUUGCCCCCCUACCAGCUGGUCCUGGAAUACCCCCCAGGCUCGUUUGUGAACCCUCAGGAGUAUUCAUGUUCCAAAGUCGCAGCACUCUG